UACGUAGGGCGCAAGCGUUAUCCGGAAUUAUUGGGCGUAAAGAGCUCGUAGGCGGUUUGUCGCGUCUGCCGUGAAAGUCCGGGGCUCAACUCCAGAUCUGCGGUGGGUACGGGCAGACUAGAGUGAUGUGGGGGAGACUGGAAUUCCUGGUGUAGCGGUGAAAUGCGCAGAUAUCAGGAGGAACACCGAUGGCGAAGGCAGGUCUCUGGGCAUUAACUGACGCUGAGGAGCGAAAGCAUGGGGAGCGAACAGG
rnacentral:rRNA from 1 species